UGCAGUUUAUUUUUAAAGACUUGUGUGUGU
rnacentral:piRNA from 1 species